rnacentral:lncRNA from 1 species
GGGGCCGUGGAUGUGUGCUGGACUCCGUGGUUUAAGAAAUCGUGUUAGGAAACUAGCUCGGGAAACCAGCUCACCAGGUCCCCGCAUUUCUCACUUCCAGAGGGCAAGAAUAAUCAAGACCCUGCGGCAGAUGAGGACCGGGCUCUGUAAGUGGACAGGACCCCUCAAGGCGGACCUGGGGUUCAAAUAAAGGUCUUCUGACAUCUGCUGCAAUUUAUCAGAAGACUCCCCAACCUUUUCUGGUGAUUUACAAGUCAGAAGGAACCGGUGGGGAGGGAGAAAAAAUCAGAGGAGAAGUGAAGCCUGCACCAUCCCAUUGAUGUCGAGAAACUGCAAUUCCUAUUAAGAACACUUGACUGUUUACUCAGCACGAGAACUUCAGCCUCAGUCUGCAUCAAUCUAAAUGCGUUUCCAGACGUCAGGCCCCCGAAAAGUGCAGACGAGGAGAAGGCUAAUCCACACCAUGGCUACAAAGCAAUGGCUGUUCCCUCCAAAGCUCUGCCAGCUCUAAGAAGGACUGGCUUCUAGCGAACUGAAUAUUAAAAAGGUAUUACAAGGAGAAUCCACCUGCCUGGCUGAUUGUUUCUUCCCCAAAUGGAUGAGAUGAUGAACGAAUGCUUUCAUUUACAUCAACAAUCAGUUGAAAGGGCUUCGCCAAAUAUUCAGUCCUCCCUAAGCCAAAAGUUACCAACUGAGUGCCUCCAAAGGACCAAAGGAAAAGAAAGCAGAAUGAGCAUCUUCUGUUUGGAGUUCAAGUUCCUUCUGCGACUUGCUUCUUGUCUCUAACCUCAACCUUCCUAACAUUAAAUGGGAAGACCAGAAUCUGGCAGCACACUUAGAAUUACUAAAUGAAACAUUAUUAACACAUGUACAAGGAAUAUAGUUAAACAUAUGAUAGGUGCUUAAUAAAUGUUGGCUUUAUCCCCCCUCCGCCCCCGCAAUGAGUUAACUUUUCUCAGUGUGUUGACAGGGGUUGGCAGAUGUGGACAAGGUGGGUUCUGCUGAAGCAGAGGUUGCCAGAGAUCCCCAGGUCUGCCAUCCACCCCCUUCCUGAGGACAGAGCUAGAUCACAUGUACCAGCCUCCUUCCUAUCAGGCACUGCCACAUGCUUUCCCGUACAACUCUCCAUGCUCUGGUCCCCUCUGGCUUGAUGAAGAAAAGUACUGUGAGCUUGAAAGCUUCUCUUUCCUUCAGGGCACACCCAUUAGAAUGAACUUAAGCAAGAAAUAAACUUCAGAAGUGUUAACGCACUAGAAGUUGAGGGUUUAUUUGUUUCAGUAGCUGGGGUUAAUCUUCUCCAGUACGUACACACAAUAUUGUUCAUCCAUUUACAAAUAGAUCAGACACACGUAUAUGUCACCAACACAUAUACACACAUGCGUCAACACACAUAGACGAACCAACACAUAUACACAUACAUAGCCACGCACAUAUACCAACACAUCAGAAAUUUAGCAUUUUGUGAGCACGAUGAACAUUUUAUUGACUUGGUUUUCAAGUUUUCGCCUGGUUAGUCUUGUCCUUGCAACUUAAAUAAUACUAUUAAGAAUUUUUAAAUUUAUAGUUGAAUUUAUAUUCGAGAGACUUUGAGGCUAGCCAGUCUGACGGAUGGCCAUCCUCUGCCUGAACCCCUCCUGUAACGUGGUAUCCACCGCCCUCCAUGGAAAUGGAUGGUCAGGCAGCUCUGAGUGCUACAAUCAUGGGCUUUCUCUCAAGAACAGGGCUGCCUUCUCCAAGAUCUAUCCAUUUCCCAUGGCUCCACCGUCUGACAAAUCAAGUAGCAGCCUGUUGGUUUUUCUACAGGGAAGCCCAUUAAGCAAUUGAAAAUACAGUCACUUUGGCUGUAACUCUUGUCUGGAAAACACACAUUUGUUUCCUUGUAAUUGAUAGAUUAAGGAACCAUUUAAAUAUUAUGCAAAAUGUGCCUUUGCUUGUGUGCCAUUUCCUCUGCAGGAAACAUUGGGUGAAAGCAGAAAAACGCACCCAUGUGAAUGGGGUCCUGUGGAAAUGCAGGCUGUCCACCUGUACCUGCAGGUACUCCUCACACACCUGUCUACCACCCAGUCUUCUGUGUGUGUCUUGAUUCAUAGCUCUGCUCCAGCUUUUCCUCCGGUUUCAGAAAACCCUCCUUCCACCCCUUUGCAAUAACGCGCAAGCUUCAACUCUUCCAACGCUCACUUUUAUAAGCAACUUUGAGCCUUUUUCUGGAGGAAGUACUGUAUCUAGUGCAGUAUUCACAUGUUUUUCUGAACCUUUGAGCAUGUGCCACUUUUUCUAUUGGGUCUUUUAAAAAUUGUUUUUCCAAUAUGCCAUUGAGAAAGUGUUUGAAUGUUGAGUUCCAGCCUAAUUUUUUCCAUAAUUCUGUGGUUUUUCUUGCACAGUUUUGCAUAGUGGGUGAUUUUUAGGAAUGCAUAUAUCACAUUUUAGCUGAACUGACUGUGGAACUUAUAUCUUCUGUUAAUCUGUUAAUAGAAUGGGGUGUAUUUGUCAGUAAGGUACAUCUCCACGUUGUCUCAAUAAAAAAGUACCAUUUGCCAGGUCUGGCCUGAUGCUGGCCACCCA